UACGGAGGGUGCGAGCGUUGUCCGGAAUCAUUGGGCGUAAAGGGCGCGUAGGCGGCCUUCUAAGUCGAACGUGAAAUCCCCGGGCUCAACCCGGGAACUGCGUCCGAUACUGGAAGGCUUGAAUCCGGGAGAGGGAUGUGGAAUUCCAGGUGUAGCGGUGAAAUGCGUAGAUAUCUGGAGGAACACCGGUGGCGAAGGCGACAUCCUGGACCGGUAUUGACGCUGAGGCGCGAAAGCCAGGGGAGCAAACGGG
rnacentral:rRNA from 1 species